GACGAACCGUGCGAACGUUGUUCGGAAUCACUGGGCUUAAAGGGCGCGUAGGCGGACUCUCAAGUCUGUGGUGAAAUCCCCCGGCUCAACCGGGGAACUGCCGUGGAUACUGGGAGUCUCGAGGGGUGUAGGGGCAUGCGGAACUUCGGGUGGAGCGGUGAAAUGCGUAGAUAUCCGAAGGAACGCCGGUGGCGAAAGCGGCGUGCUGGACACCUUCGUGACGCUGAGGCGCGAAAGCCAGGGGAGCAAAGCGGG
rnacentral:rRNA from 1 species